rnacentral:rRNA from 1 species
UUUAUGGAGAGUUUGAUCCUGGCUCAGGAUGAACGCUGGCGGCGUGCCUAAUACAUGCAAGUCGAGCGAACAGACGAGGAGCUUGCUCCUUUGACGUUAGCGGCGGACGGGUGAGUAACACGUGGGUAACCUACCUAUAAGACUGGGAUAACUUCGGGAAACCGGAGCUAAUACCGGAUAAUAUUUCGAACCGCAUGGUUCGAUAGUGAAAGAUGGCUUUGCUAUCACUUAUAGAUGGACCUGCGCCGUAUUAGCUAGUUGGUAAGGUAACGGCUUACCAAGGCAACGAUACGUAGCCGACCUGAGAGGGUGAUCGGCCACACUGGAACUGAGACACGGUCCAGACUCCUACGGGAGGCAGCAGUAGGGAAUCUUCCGCAAUGGGCGAAAGCCUGACGGAGCAACGCCGCGUGAGUGAUGAAGGUCUUCGGAUCGUAAAACUCUGUUAUUAGGGAAGAACAAACGUGUAAGUAACUGUGCACGUCUUGACGGUACCUAAUCAGAAAGCCACGGCUAACUACGUGCCAGCAGCCGCGGUAAUACGUAGGUGGCAAGCGUUAUCCGGAAUUAUUGGGCGUAAAGCGCGCGUAGGCGGUUUUUUAAGUCUGAUGUGAAAGCCCACGGCUCAACCGUGGAGGGUCAUUGGAAACUGGAAAACUUGAGUGCAGAAGAGGAAAGUGGAAUUCCAUGUGUAGCGGUGAAAUGCGCAGAGAUAUGGAGGAACACCAGUGGCGAAGGCGACUUUCUGGUCUGUAACUGACGCUGAUGUGCGAAAGCGUGGGGAUCAAACAGGAUUAGAUACCCUGGUAGUCCACGCCGUAAACGAUGAGUGCUAAGUGUUAGGGGGUUUCCGCCCCUUAGUGCUGCAGCUAACGCAUUAAGCACUCCGCCUGGGGAGUACGACCGCAAGGUUGAAACUCAAAGGAAUUGACGGGGACCCGCACAAGCGGUGGAGCAUGUGGUUUAAUUCGAAGCAACGCGAAGAACCUUACCAAAUCUUGACAUCCUUUGACCCUUCUAGAGAUAGAAGUUUCCCCUUCGGGGGACAAAGUGACAGGUGGUGCAUGGUUGUCGUCAGCUCGUGUCGUGAGAUGUUGGGUUAAGUCCCGCAACGAGCGCAACCCUUAAGCUUAGUUGCCAUCAUUAAGUUGGGCACUCUAAGUUGACUGCCGGUGACAAACCGGAGGAAGGUGGGGAUGACGUCAAAUCAUCAUGCCCCUUAUGAUUUGGGCUACACACGUGCUACAAUGGACAAUACAAAGGGCAGCAAAACCGCGAGGUCAAGCAAAUCCCAUAAAGUUGUUCUCAGUUCGGAUUGUAGUCUGCAACUCGACUACAUGAAGCUGGAAUCGCUAGUAAUCGUAGAUCAGCAUGCUACGGUGAAUACGUUCCCGGGUCUUGUACACACCGCCCGUCACACCACGAGAGUUUGUAACACCCGAAGCCGGUGGAGUAACCAUUUGGAGCUAGCCGUCGAAGGUGGGACAAAUGAUUGGGGUGAAGUCGUAACAAGGUAGCCGUAUCGGAAGGUGCGGCUGGAUCACCUCCUUUCU